rnacentral:sRNA from 1 species
CCUGUAAUGGACAAACUUGAUGCUAAUGUGAGUUCUGAGGAGGGUUUCGGGUCAGUGGAGAAGGUGGUGCUGCUCACGUUUCUCUCGACAGUUAUCCUGAUGGCCAUCUUGGGGAACCUGCUGGUGAUGGUGGCUGUGUGCUGGGACAGGCAGCUCAGGAAAAUAAAAACAAAUUAUUUCAUUGUAUCUCUUGCUUUUGCGGAUCUGCUGGUUUCGGUGCUGGUGAUGCCCUUUGGUGCCAUUGAGCUGGUUCAAGACAUCUGGAUUUAUGGGGAGAUGUUUUGUCUUGUUCGGACAUCUCUGGACGUCCUGCUCACAACAGCAUCGAUUUUUCACCUGUGCUGCAUUUCUCUGGAUAGGUAUUACGCCAUCUGCUGCCAGCCUUUGGUUUAUAGGAACAAGAUGACCCCUCUGCGCAUCGCAUUAAUGCUGGGAGGCUGCUGGGUCAUCCCCACGUUUAUUUCUUUUCUCCCUAUAAUGCAAGGCUGGAAUAACAUUGGCAUAAUUGAUUUGAUAGAAAAGAGGAAGUUCAACCAGAACUCUAACUCUACGUACUGUGUCUUCAUGGUCAACAAGCCCUACGCCAUCACCUGCUCUGUGGUGGCCUUCUACAUCCCAUUUCUCCUCAUGGUGCUGGCCUAUUACCGCAUCUAUGUCACAGCUAAGGAGCAUGCCCAUCAGAUCCAGAUGUUACAACGGGCAGGAGCCUCCUCCGAGAGCAGGCCUCAGUCGGCAGACCAGCAUAGCACUCACCGCAUGAGGACAGAGACCAAAGCAGCCAAGACCCUGUGCAUCAUCAUGGGUUGCUUCUGCCUCUGCUGGGCACCAUUCUUUGUCACCAAUAUUGUGGAUCCUUUCAUAGACUACACUGUCCCUGGGCAGGUGUGGACUGCUUUCCUCUGGCUCGGCUAUAUCAAUUCCGGGUUGAACCCUUUUCUCUACGCCUUCUUGAAUAAGUCUUUUAGACGUGCCUUCCUCAUCAUCCUCUGCUGUGAUGAUGAGCGCUACCGAAGACCUUCCAUUCUGGGCCAGACUGUCCCUUGUUCAACCACAACCAUUAAUGGAUCCACACAUGUACUAAGGUGAGUGUACUAAGGGAGUUCAUUGAUUUGGUUGAUUUGUAUUACUCAGAAGGGGUAAUGCUCCAGUUUUCUGUUUCCAAAGGGGUUAUCCCUGAAACCUGCAUAGAGUUUGCAAAGAUUAUAAAAGAUUCUACUAUCU